GCAAGUCGAACGAACCCUUCGGGGUUAGUGGCGCACGGGUGCGUAACGCGUGGGAAUCUGCCCUUUGCUUCGGAAUAACAGUUAGAAAUGACUGCUUAAUACCGGAUGAUGUCUUCGGACCAAAGAUUUAUCGGCAAGGGAUGAGCCCGCGUAGGAUUAGGUAGUUGGUGGGGUAAAGGCCUACCAAGCCGACGAUCCUUAGCUGGUCUGAGAGGAUGAUCAGCCACACUGGGACUGAGACACGGCCCAGACUCCUACGGGAGGCAGCAGUGGGGAAUAUUGGACAAUGGGCGCAAGCCUGAUCCAGCAAUGCCGCGUGAGUGAUGAAGGCCUUCGGGUCGUAAAGCUCUUUUACCAGGGAUGAUAAUGACAGUACCGGAGAUAAGUCCGGCUAA
rnacentral:rRNA from 1 species